UAAUAGUCUACAUGGCUUUAACAUGUGUGACAGGCUUCGGGACUCCAUAUGGAUACAGUGCUGCAGCCGCCCCAGCCUAUGGUUUCUCCCCCAACAGAAUGCUUCUGUUGCCUGUUAUGAAAAUACCCACCUACCCCAUCCCCCACUACUCCUUCUUUUAGAACAGGGACCCCAAAACACCCCACUAGAAGGGAUUCUGAGUCUUUUUAUUUGUCCUACAUAUGGAGGGAGAAGUGAACAAAAGGACUUGAGCAGAAGAUGAUUUGUAAAAGAAGUGUAUUUUGCUGAUAAAGAUUUCUAAAAAAUGAAAUAAAAAUAAAACUUGAAGGAUUUGUACUGUGAAUUGUUACCUCAUUCUUUUGAAUCUAAAUUAUAUCAGACUUUUUUGUUAUUCGUUGUUUCUGUUCUUAAGUAGGAAAGAUUUAGGCCUUGCAAUUUGACACAGAACACAUUCUCUGUAACCCUGAGCUGUGUGAAGGAUGCAUAGCAAUUAUAAUGGAACUAUUGUGGACAAAUAAAACCUUUACCGGUAUAUAUCCUACAA